rnacentral:rRNA from 1 species
GAGUUGCUUCAAUGCGAUUCUUUGUAUAUCAUUACCCCCCAACCCAGAGGUGCAUUGUGGCCUUUAACGAGGUUAGCAGUGUAUCAGUACGUAUUACAAAGGCGACUUUGUCUUACAUUACAUAUAAGUUACCCCCAUUUACACUUAAGAAGUUUUAAGAAUGAUACCUAUACCUAUAUAACUUUCAGCAAUGGAUCUCUAGGCUCUCACGUCGAUGAAGAACACAGUGAAAUGUGAUACGUAAUGUGAAUCGCAGAAUUCAGUGAAUCAUCGAAUCUUUGAACGCACUUUGCACCUUUUGGUUAUUCCGAGAGGUACGCCUGUUUGAAUGUCACAAAACUCCCCUCGUCUUUAACACUUUCUAAAAGGGUUAUUGACGGAUUCUGAGUGUUGGCGUGUCAACGCCUCGCUUUAAAUAUAUCAGCACUUUUGGAUGGUUCCAUGUUAGUUCAAAAGACGUACUUGAUGUCGUAUUUAUACAAUUCAUCGAGAUGGUCUUUGGUCGUAUCGACUAUCCGCUAAUAUGACGACUUGAAGAAUAGCUUCCUAACCCCAUUGAAUUUACCUU